GACUAACUAAUAUGACUAAUGACUUUUUAACUUUUAUGAAACCAGAAAACGUGCAGUAUAGAAACUAGGAUGAGUAGAAAGGGUGAAGGACUGGUUUCAUUUCAACAAGAAACAAAUAUGUAUACUGCAUUGAAUAGCUCUGGCUGACUCCUGAAUCCCACAUAUGCUCUAGAAACCAGAUCUGAUUAAAGCUGUGUCUUCUGAUCUAUUGUGAACCUGCAUCUUUGGGGAAGACUGUUUGUUGAAAGACAAAUUACUGUGGUGUUUUGAAGGAGGGUUCUGUGGAGAAGAACAAGAGCAAGGUGAAGCCAGGAGCCAAGCCCCACACAGCUGCUCACUCACUCCCCCAGCAGAACUGGGGACAGAACUGGAAGGACAAAAGCUGGAAAACUCGUGAGUUGAGACAGGCAGGUGUUCAGCCAUCUCCAGGACAGCAGGGUCCCAUCCCAUGUAAUGGUGACUUGGGAAGACAAACUCCAUCCCUCCAAAUGUGUUCCCACUUCCUCCUCCUUCCCUCCACUCUGUAUGCUGAGCAUGAUGCCAUAUGCUCUGGAAUAUCCCUUUGGUCAAUAUGGGUCACCUGUCCCAGCUCUGUCUCCUCCCAGCCUCCCAAGCGACCCCAACUUCCUUGCCAGUAUGUAAAUUGGAGAAGCAGAAAAGGCCUUGGCUCUGUAUAAACCCUGCUGUGCUAUAACAAAAACAUCUCUUUAUUAUCAAUCCUGUGCUCAGCACAAAUCCAAAACACAGCCCCAUACCAGCCACUGUGAAGAAAGUUUACUGUACCCCAACCAAAAACAACAUACCAUUUGAAUCUUAUUUUGACUGUGAGAAUUAUUCCUUUGUCUCUGUGUUAUCUUUCUUGGCCCUUUUCUGCUUUGACAGAUAAGUUGUGAAAUCUUAGUCUCUGAAAGGGACCUACAGUAAGCCUGAUUCUUGUGGGAGGUAUUCAGAGCAGACAUAUAGCUUAACAUGAGAAAAAUUUUUCUUCAAAAAUUACAUGUUGAGAUAGGAAUGGUGCACAUUCUCAGCCCAUCAAAACAAGUUUUGAAAAACAUUCCUGUGCUGAAUUACAAUGAAAUGUUGUAAUUUUUUAAUAAAAAAGAAUAUCACUCUUAUACAGGAUAAUAUUUUUGUUCAGAGAAGCAUACAGAUUUUAUUAAAAAUUAAAAUUAGAGCUUUCUUGUUUGAAAGUGUCAGGUAAAGUCUUGACAAGCACUUUGAGAGUGAGUGUACUCCAAAAGAUGAUUAAUUAAAUUUGAACUUCAAAGAACCUACAAACUUAAAACCGUGUUUUUGAAUGAAAACCACAUUUUCAUGAAAAUUUUCCAGACCAGUUAUGUUCCAUACAGUAUUCAACUCUCUGUUUACUUAUGCAGUAUAGAGAAAUGUGGUAGUCUAAUUUUAUGAUAAUGCCUGUUGAAGAAUAGUAAGAAAGAAAAUUUGAGAGAAAAAGUGAAAAAGAAAGUGAGGGGGUAGUAGUAUAGUGAUAUUGAUCAUGCUUGUCCUGGGAGGAGCUCCCAGGUAGCACUUUAUUUGCUAUAACCAUGAAAAAUAUUUUACUUCUACAUUAUUCAUCAUACAUUUUUAAGACCUCCAUUAUGUAGAGUAUCUGUCAGCUAUGGUGAAAUAUAUUACCAGUAUCUUCAUAACUUACUUUUCACUUAUAUGUGCACAAUCUUUGAUCUAGAAGAACUACAUUAUUGCAAGAGAAUAUUCUAACUAUAUAUUUCAAUUUUCCCACAUUUAUAAAACAAUCUAAAAUAUAAAUACAGAAUAUGUAAUCUAUAUGUGACUCCAAUACUUUCCAGAAAGUAUUGGACUUGGAAAAAUAACAGCUUGUCAGAUCUCAGGUACAUUUCAUUAGCAGUAUUUGAAAGUUUCAAUUACUACUCAGUGUUUUUCAUGUCCGUCAGACCUGCAAUAAUUUCUAUAUAUCUCAUUGCAAUUGCUGCUCUGUCAUUUUUGAUAAUGGGCUUUGAACUUUCAGACAUAAUCAAUCAGAGAAUUAUUUCAAACCACUGCAUUAUCUGCUUUAUUGAAAGGAGUCAGAUGUGGAUCUGAAUGCCAUCCACUGGGUUAAAGGAUAAUGUUUUGAAUUAGCCUCCGUCAUUAGCCACAGUUACAAUGGAGAAUUUUCAGUAUCAAAACUGAAACCUAAAAAACUACAGGAGUCAAAAUACCAUGAAUGGGAUAACUAUUUUCAUAUGUUGUUUUACACACAACCAUUACACACCUAUCACUUUUUUUUUUUUUCAUUCAUAUAUGUUUUUAUAUCUUCUAGUGGUUUUUAGUACUAUGCAGAUUGUGAUACUGGCCAGGCAAAAUUAAAUUCCCCAGCUGACAAUGACACUGCAGCCAUUUCUUAUUCUAUAUAGCAAGAUGUUACCUGACUACUGAAUGUGCUUUUCUUUGUUCUGUGGAUGUAUUUCUGUCUACUUCUUUUACAGCUCUGUACUUCUGUAUGCUUUUACUUUGUAUGUUCUCUGUAGACAUAAAUCCCUUUCUAUGCUUUUCUCAUAUAUUUGUUAUGUCAGCACAUGCUUAUUUCUUAAGGUGAUAUCUUUGUGAUAAAAUAAAAUCUUUCCUCUCUCCCAUCUGUGAACACUUGCCAAAAUGCAGAGUGAAUUGCUUCCUGCUGUUUUAAAGACAAGGUAUUACUUGA